CCCUUUGAUACUCUGGGCGGUACGCGCGCUACACUGGUUUAUAUAACGUGUAAUUUGGACGAUAGUCUGUAUAAAUCACUAAUAUAAAACCGUGAAUGGGAUAGUUUAUUGCAACUUACAAACUUUAACUAGGAAUCCCUUGUAGAAGUAGUGAAUUAUACUGCUUCGAAUACGUCCCUGCCGAUUGUACACACCGCCCGUCGUUUCUUCCGACUGGUACUCAUUGUGAAUUGCGAGGAGAUUCUGUCAAAUCGUUGUAAAUGCUGGGUAUUGGAGGAAGAAAAAGUCGCAACA
rnacentral:rRNA from 1 species